GAAUUGGUGGAUCGAUCUGGUUCCAAAUGUGAAGGCAAAGUUGAGGCUUACAGCUUUGCAGUGCUUCUUCAGCCACAUGCUCUCUGCUUUUCUGGACAAUUGCAAUUGAAAGAACGCUUUCAUCUUGAAAGAUUGGAUGGGACAUUCAUCUUCAAGCAGCGGUGUACACUGUGUCUGGAAUAUGUUGAUCACUUCACUAAUCUCUAUAAGAUGAUUGCAGUAUGUUAACUGGAUACGGGUUUGCGUGUCCCGAGUUU